UCAACUGUAUAUGUCUUUAUAUAAUAAAUGAUUGUUGAAUAUGAAUAAAUAAUGUGAGCUGUUUUUAGAUUGACGUUGCUAGUAUUGAGAAUUUUCCAGAACAUGUGUGGCAAUUAUUUAUUUCAGAGGUGCCAGUAAGACUAGUGCUCUCUAUAUGUGCUCUGGGUCAUGAGACACCAUUAGACAUGCACCUGUCUGGGGAGUGGACAUGUCUGGUUAUUUCUGUAACAGUGGUAUGGCCUCAUAUUUACUGUUGCUAUGGUUACGUCUAUGACCUGCAUGCAUCUGUCUUAUUCAAGAACACGUCUGUAUGUUUUAACUAUUGGUGUGGCUCUAAAGUUUCAAUGCCCUAAUAUGAAACCAAACUAAAAAUUAGUGCAAGGCAAAAAGAUAACCGGUGGCUAAAUGCCAGAGUGGAUGAGUCAUUAAGAAGGAGUUACUAUGUGUGUGACGUAAGAAGGAAAAAUGUAUUAGAAGUGUGUGCCAAGACUGGAAAGCGAAGUACUGAAGGCACCACUGAUCUCGAACAAGGGGCGCAUCAUUCAGAGAAAUUCACAAUUCAGGUAAUCAUGCAGUAUGUACCUACGGGGGAAGGAUGGCCAGCCACACAGGAGUGUGAUUUUUUACUAAGGAGGAGAAAGAGGUUGUGCUGACCGAGAUGCAUGCUGGCCAUUUCGAAGAGAAGCACAUGAUUGCCAAAAUCAACCUACGCUUCCUUCUUCUGACAGGGAAUUGUCAAGGAGGUGGACAGCUGGCCAAGGGAAAUAACCUUUUGUUUAUCAAUCACAUUCUAUUAUAUCUGAAAGUAUUAUGUUUUCAAUGAAUGUCAUAUCAGAGAGCACACAAUGUAUCAAUUUGUUACUAUGUGCUUAUAGGUCACUACUCUGUCUAGCCUGCCAGAAAUGUGUGAGGGUGAAUACUGUGGUGCCGGAGUUGAAGCCCAUCAAAGUUGUUUCGUCAUGGCAUAUGAUCGUGGUGGACGUCAUUGGACCCUUCACUAAAUCCAGGAAUGGCAACAGCUGGUGUCUGACGGUGACCCAUCACAUUACCAAGUGGGUGGAGGACGAGACUGUCGAGGCCACCCAGGCUUCUCCUGAGGUCAUCUUGAACGCUGGAACAAGCUACGGAUGUUAUAGGUUAUAUUCUGUCACCAAUGGUUCGGUGAACGGACCAACCAGACCCACCUUCAUACACGGACUGAGAAGGAUGUAGAGGUUUUUGACCAGGAUGCCGGUGGGCGGAGUUUGGAGGGUCGUCAGCUACAUGGGAAACACCU